AGAGUUCCUUCCUGGCUCAGAUUGAACGCUGGCGGCAGGCCUAACACAUGCAAGUCGAACGGUAACAGGAAACAGCUUGCUGUUUCGCUGACGAGUGGCGGACGGGUGAGUAAUGUCUGGGAAACUGCCUGAUGGAGGGGGAUAACUACUGGAAACGGUAGCUGAUACCGCAUAACGUCGCAAGACCAAAGAGGGGGACCUUCGGGCCUCUUGCCAUCGGAUGUGCCCAGAUGGGAUUAGCUAGUAGGUGGGGUAACGGCUCACCUAGGCGACGAUCCCUAGCUGGUCUGAGAGGAUGACCAGCCACACUGGAACUGAGACACGGUCCAGACUCCUACGGGAGGCAGCAGUGGGGAAUAUUGCACAAUGGGCGCAAGCCUGAUGCAGCCAUGCCGCGUGUAUGAAGAAGGCCUUCGGGUUGUAAAGUACUUUCAGCGGGGAGGAAGGGAGUAAAGUUAAUACCUUUACUCAUUGACGUUACCCGCAGAAGAAGCACCGGCUAACUCCGUGCCAGCAGCCGCGGUAAUACGGAGGGUGCAAGCGUUAAUCGGAAUUACUGGGCGUAAAGCGCACGCAGGCGGUUUGUUAAGUCAGAUGUGAAAUCCCCGGGCUCAACCUGGGAACUGCAUCUGAUACUGGCAAGCUUGAGUCUCGUAGAGGGGGGUAGAAUUCCAGGUGUAGCGGUGAAAUGCGUAGAGAUCUGGAGGAAUACCGGUGGCGAAGGCGGCCCCCUGGACGAAGAUUGACGCUCAGGUGCGAAAGCGUGGGGAGCAAACAGGAUUAGAUACCCUGGUAGUCCACGCCGUAAACGAUGUCGACUUGGAGGUUGUGCCCUUGAGGCGUGGCUUCCGGAGCUAACGCGUUAAGUCGACCGCCUGGGGAGUACGGCCGCAAGGUUAAAACUCAAAUGAAUUGACGGGGGCCCGCACAAGCGGUGGAGCAUGUGGUUUAAUUCGAUGCAACGCGAAGAACCUUACCUGGUCUUGACAUCCACAGAACCCUGUAGAGAUACGGGGGUGCCUUCGGGAACUGUGAGACAGGUGCUGCAUGGCUGUCGUCAGCUCGUGUUGUGAAAUGUUGGGUUAAGUCCCGCAACGAGCGCAACCCUUAUCCUUUGUUGCCAGCGGUCCGGCCGGGAACUCAAAGGAGACUGCCAGUGAUAAACUGGAGGAAGGUGGGGAUGACGUCAAGUCAUUAUGGCCCUUACGACCAGGGCUACACACGUGCUACAAUGGCGCAUACAAAGAGAAGCGACCUCGCGAGAGCAAGCGGACCUCAUAAAGUGCGUCGUAGUCCGGAUUGGAGUCUGCAACUCGACUCCAUGAAGUCGGAAUCGCUAGUAAUCGUGGAUCAGAAUGCCACGGUGAAUACGUUCCCGGGCCUUGCACUCACCGCCCGUCA
rnacentral:rRNA from 1 species